GCAAGCGUUAUCCGGAAUUAUUGGGCGUAAAGCGCGCGCAGGUGGUUUCUUAAGUCUGAUGUGAAAGCCCACGGCUCAACCGUGGAGGGUCAUUGGAAACUGGGAGACUUGAGUGCAGAAGAGGAAAGUGGAAUUCCAUGUGUAGCGGUGAAAUGCGUAGAGAUAUGGAGGAACACCAGUGGCGAAGGCGACUUUCUGGUCUGUAACUGACACUGAGGCGCGAAAGCGUGGGGAGCAAACGGAUUAGAUACCCUGGUAGUCCACGCCGUAAACGAUGAGUGCUAAGUGUUAGAGGGUUUCCGCCCUUUAGUGCUGAAGUUAACGCAUUAAGCACUCCGC
rnacentral:rRNA from 1 species